rnacentral:snoRNA from 1 species
CUUGCAUGAUGAGAAACAUUUUUUUUUUCAGUUCUGCUUCUGCAAACAUCUUGAAGAAAACAAAAUACCUUACCAAAUCUCCUGAUGC